rnacentral:miRNA from 14 species
GGUUUCUCUGUGUAGCCCUGGCUGUCCUGGAAGUCACUCUGUAGACCAGGCUGGCUUUGAACUCACAGAGAUCUGCCUGCCUCUGCCUCCCGAGUGCUGGGACUAAAGGCAUGUGCUACCA